rnacentral:rRNA from 1 species
GACGAACGCUGGCGGCGUGCCUAACACAUGCAAGUCGAACGGAAAGGGCCUGCUUUUGUGGGCUGCUCGAGUGGCGAACGGGUGAGUAACACGUGAGUAACCUGCCCGUGACUGGGGGAUAACUACAGGAAACUGGGGCUAAUACCGGAUAGUAGCUCCUGCUGCAUGGUGGGGGUUGGAAAGGUGCGGCGGUUGGGGAUGGAAUCGCGGCUGAGCAGCUUUUUGGUGGGGUAGUGGCUUACCCAGGCCUUGACGGGUAGCCGUCCUGGGAGGGUGACCGGCCACAUUGGGACUGAGGUACGGCCCAGACGGCUACGGGAGGCAGCAGUGGGAAAUAUUGCGCAAUGGGCCGAAGCCUUAUACAGCGGCGCCGGGUGCGGAAUGACGGCUUUCGGGUUAUAAACCGCGUUAGCCUGUGACGUUGCCUCAGUGACGGUAAUGGGUAAAGAAGCACCGGCUAACUACGUG